rnacentral:rRNA from 1 species
AGAGUUUGAUCAUGGCUCAGAAUGAACGCUGGCGGCGUGCUUCAGACAUGCAAGUCGUACGCGAAAGUAGCUUCGGCUAUGAGUAAAGUGGCGCACGGGUGAGUAAUACUUAGGUAACGCGCCCUCUCGCUGGGGAUAACUAGACGAAAGUUUAGCUAAUACCGAAUAGUCCGGUUGAAACUGCGGUUUUGAUCGGUAAAGCCGUAAGGCGCGAGGGGAGUGGCCUGAGCCUCAUUAGCUAGUUGGUAGAGUAAAAGCCUACCAAGGCAACGAUGGGUAGCUGGUCUGAGAGGACGAUCAGCCACACUGGUACUGGAACACGGACCAGACUCCUACGGGAGGCAGCAGUUAGGAAUUUUGCGCAAUGGGCGAAAGCCUGACGCAGCAACGCCGCGUGAGUGAUGAAGGCCUUCGGGUUGUAAAGCUCUUUUAGUUGGGAAAAAACAAAUGAUGGUACCAACAGAAACAGCACCGGCUAACUCUGUGCCAGCAGCCGCGGUAAUACAGAGGGUGCAAGCGUUAUUCGGAAUUAUUGGGCAUAAAGCGCAUGUAGGUGGCUUGGUAAGUUUGAUGUGAAAGCCCCGGACUCAAUUCGGGAAGUGCAUUGAAUACUGCCAGGCUGGAGUAUGGGAGAGGUGAGCGGAAUUCCAGGUGUAGAGGUGAAAUUCGUAGAUAUCUGGAGGAACAACAGAGGCGAAGGCGGCUCACUGGACCAUUACUGACACUGAGAUGCGAAAGCGUGGGGAGCAAACAGGAUUAGAUACCCUAGUAGUCC